rnacentral:rRNA from 1 species
UACGUAGGUGGCAAGCGUUGUUCGGAAUUAUUGGGCGUAAAGGGCGCGUAGGCGGUUUGUUAAGUCGGUUGUGAAAGCCCGGGGCUCAACCCCGGAGAGUCGACCGAUACUGGCAGACUAGAGUACGGAAGAGGUAGCUGGAAUUCCUGGUGUAGCGGUGAAAUGCGUAGAGAUCGGCAGGAACACCCAGGGGGAAACCAGUCGACUGGGCAUCUACUGACGCUGAGGUGCGAGAGCGUGGGGAGCGAACCGG